UGGGGAAUUUUGGACAAUGGGGGAAACCCUGAUCCAGCCAUCUCGCGUGUGCGAUGAAGGCCUUCGGGUUGUAAAGCACUUUUGGCAGGAAAGAAACGUCAUGGGUUAAUACCCCGUGAAACUGACGGUACCUGCAGAAUAAGCACCGGCUAACUACGUGCCAGCAGCCGCGGUAAUACGUAGGGUGCAAGCGUUAAUCGGAAUUACUGGGCGUAAAGCGUGCGCAGGCGGUUCGGAAAGAAAGAUGUGAAAUCCCAGAGCUCAACUUUGGAACUGCAUUUUUAACUACCGGGCUAGAGUGUGUCAGAGGGAGGUGGAAUUCCGCGUGUAGCAGUGAAAUGCGUAGAUAUGCGGAGGAACACCGAUGGCGAAGGCAGCCUCCUGGGAUAACACUGACGCUCAUGCACGAAAGCGUGGGGAGCAAACAUG
rnacentral:rRNA from 1 species